GAGCCGAUGGUCCAGCGGACGACGAUCUGUGCCUUGGGCGCACAGGACCGAGGUUCGAAUCCUCGUCGGCUCA
rnacentral:tRNA from 5 species